GACGAACGCUGGCGGCGUGCCUAAUACAUGCAAGUCGAGCGGAUCUAAAGGAGCUUGCUCCUUUAGAUUAGCGGCGGACGGGUGAGUAACACGUGGGCAACCUGCCCUGCAGAUUGGGAUAACUCCGGGAAACCGGGGCUAAUACCGAAUAAUAUAGAAGAUUACAUGACCUUCUUUUGAAAGAUGGCUUUAGCUGUCACUGCAGGAUGGGCCCGCGGCGCAUUAGCUAGUUGGUGAGGUAACGGCCCACCAAGGCGACGAUGCGUAGCCGACCUGAGAGGGUGAUCGGCCACACUGGGACUGAGACACGGCCCAGACUCCUACGGGAGGCAGCAGUAGGGAAUCUUCCGCAAUGGACGAAAGUCUGACGGAGCAACGCCGCGUGAGUGAUGAAGGUUUUCGGAUCGUAAAACUCUGUUGUCAGGGAAGAACACGUACGGGAGUAACUGUCCGUACCUUGACGGUACCUGACCAGAAAGCCACGGCUAACUACGUGCCAGCCGCCGCGGUAACAC
rnacentral:rRNA from 1 species